ACAUCCAGAGAACUUAGCAGAGAUGCUUUGGUGCCUUCGGGAACUCUGAGACAGGUGCUGCAUGGCUGUCGUCAGCUCGUGUUGUGAAAUGUUGGGUUAAGUCCCGCAACGAGCGCAACCCUUAUCCUUUGUUGCCAGCGAUUCGGUCGGGAACUCAAAGGAGACUGCCGGUGAUAAACCGGAGGAAGGUGGGGAUGACGUCAAGUCAUCAUGGCCCUUACGGCCAGGGCUACACACGUGCUACAAUGGCGCAUACAAAGAGAAGCGACCUCGCGAGAGCAAGCGGACCUCAUAAAGUGCGUCGUAGUCCGGAUUGGAGUCUGCAACUCGACUCCAUGAAGUCGGAAUCGCUAGUAAUCGUAGAUCAGAAUGCUACGGUGAAUACGUUCCCGGGCCUUGUACACACCGCCCGUCACACCAUGGGAGUGGGUUGCAAAAGAAGUAGGUAGCUUAACCUUCGGGAGGGCGCUUACCACUUUGUGAUUCAUGACUGGGGUGAAGUCGUAACAAGGUAGGCGUACGUGU
rnacentral:rRNA from 1 species